UUAAGCUUCUUAUCUUCCUUGGAUCUUAUUGUGAUCCUGGGACAGCUCCCUCCACAUAUACAUUAGGAUGGAGCCUAUGUGUCUUCCGGUCGUCUCCUCCCCCCUAUGGUCCACACUUGUGACUCCUUGUAAGCCCGGUUUGGUGGGUUCCCGUCAAGCGGAACGGGGGUUUCUCUUGCUAUGGGGGUCUUCGGAUAAUUUUUACUUCUCAGCAACCAUCUCUGAUUACAUAUUAAUUCAUUAACCCUUGAGUGGUAAAUAUAAGUUCAACAAUAUUCUCUCAGCAGAUGUUAAACAUUUUUGUUAGAGGGAUGUAACUUUAAUAAUUUUUCUAAUUAUAUCUAUCAGAGUACAAUUCCCCUGAAGAAGACCAUGACAGUUUAGGUCGAAACGUGUCGGGGUACUCAUAUGGAAACAAUUGAAUCAUGAUGUAACGUGUAUUGUAUUGUUGUUGAUUUUUGCCACUGUUAUUUUUAUUUUCAUGUAUAAUCAGAGUGUACUAUAUGUAUAUUAUCUACAUUAUUUUACAAAUGCUCCAACCAUGUUGUACAUUUUAUUGUAAUUUAAUGUUGAAACCAAGUAAAGAUUUUAACUUCAAUAUCA